GAUGAACGCUGGCGGCGUGCCUAAUACAUGCAAGUCGAGCGAACGGACGAGAAGCUUGCUUCUCUGAUGUUAGCGGCGGACGGGUGAGUAACACGUGGAUAACCUACCUAUAAGACUGGGAUAACUUCGGGAAACCGGAGCUAAUACCGGAUAAUAUUUUGAACCGCAUGGUUCAAAAGUGAAAGACGGUCUUUCUGUCACUUAUAGAUGGAUCCGCGCUGCAUUAGCUAGUUGGUAAGGUAACGGCUUACCAAGGCAACGAUGCCUAGCCGACCUGAGAGGGUGAUAGGCCACACUGGAACUGAGACGGGGUCCAGACUCCUACGGGAGGCAGCAGUAGGGAACCUUCCGCAAUGGGCGAAAGCCUGACGGAGCAACGGCGAGUGAGUGAUGGAGGUCUUCGGUUCGUAAAACUCUGUUAUUAGGGAAAAACAUAUGUGUAAGUAACUGUGCACAGCUUGACGGUACCUGGUCAGAAAGCCACGGCUAACUACGUG
rnacentral:rRNA from 1 species